GACGAACGCUGGCGGCGUGCUUAACACAUGCAAGUCGAACGGAGUGGCGAACGGGUGAGUAACACGUGGGUGAUCUGCCUUGCACUUCGGGAUACGCUUGGGAAACUGGGUCUAAUACCGGAUAGUGCAAGAUGAGCUCGCGGCCUAUCAGCUUGUUGGUGGGGUAAUGGCCUACAAAGGCGUCGACGGGUAGCCGGCCUGUGAGGGUGUACGGCCACAUUGGGACGGAGAUACGGCCCAGAGUCCUACGGGAGGCAGCAGGGGGAAAUAUUGAGCAAUGGGCGGAGGCCUGAUGCAGCGACGCCGCGUGGUGGAGGAAGGCCGUCGGGUUGGAAACUCCUUUAGACAGGGACGCGGUACCUGUAUAAGAAGCACCGGCUAACUACGUGCCAGCAGCCGCGGUAAUAC
rnacentral:rRNA from 1 species